rnacentral:rRNA from 1 species
CCUACGGGCGGCAGCAGUGGGGAAUAUUGCACAAUGGGGGAAACCCUGAUGCAGCGACGCCGCGUGAGCGAAGAAGUAUUUCGGUAUGUAAAGCUCUAUCAGCAGGGGAGAAAAUGACGGUACCUGACUAAGAAGCAACGGCUAAAUACGUGCCAGCAGCCGCGGUAACACGCAUGGAGCAAGCGUUAUCCGGAUUUACUGGGUGUUAAGGGGGCGUAGGCGGUAAGGUAGGUCUGAUGUGAAAGGCCAGGGCUCAACCCUGGGACUGCAUUGGAAACUGUUUAACUGGAGUGUCGGUGCGGCAAGUGGAAUUCCUGGUGUAGCGGUGAAAUGCGUAGAUAUUAGGAGGAACACCAAUGGCGAAGGCGGCUUGCUGGACGAUGACUGACGCUGAGGCUCGAAAGCGUGGGGAGCAAACAGGAUUAGAUACCCCUGUAGUC